GGCGCACGGCGCUCGGGUGCGUAACACGUGGGUUAUCUGCCCUCUGAUGGGGAAUAACUCGCCGAAAGGCGAGCUAAUUCCGCAUAACAUUCCGUGGACUCCGGUUCGAGGAUUCAAAGGCGUAAGUCGUCGGAGGUGGAGCCCGCGCACGAUUAGCUAGUUGGUGAGGUAAUGGCUCACCAAGGCUAUGAUCGUUAGCUGGUCUGAGAGGAUGUCCAGCCACACUGGAACUGAGACACGGUCCAGACUCCUACGGGAGGCAGCAGUGGGGAAUCUUGCACAAUGGGCGAAAGCCUGAUGCAGCGACGCCGCGUGGGGGAUGAAGCUUCUCGGAGUGUAAACCCCUUUCGACCGGGACGAAUGCCCGCAAGGGACUGACGGUACCGGUAUAAGAAGCCCCGGCUAACUACGUGCCAGCAGCCGCGGUAAGACGUAGGGGGCCAGCGUUGCUCGGAAUUACUGGGUGUAAAGGGUUCGUAGGCGGUGUAGCAAGUCGGGAGUGAAAUCUCUGGGCUCAACCCAGGGGCUGCUUCCGAAACUGCUGUGCUAGAGUGUGGGAGAGGCGCGUGGAAUUGCAGGUGUAGCGGUGAAAUGCGUAGAUAUCUGCAGGAACACCCGUGGCGAAAGCGGCGCGCUGGACCACUACUGACGCUGAGGAACGAAAGCUAGGGGAG
rnacentral:rRNA from 1 species